rnacentral:rRNA from 1 species
UACAGAGGGGGCAAGCGUUGUUCGGAAUUACUGGGCGUAAAGGGCGCGUAGGCGGCCUGUUAAGUCGAACGUGAAAUCCCCGGGCUCAACCCGGGAACUGCGUCCGAUACUGGCAGGCUUGAAUCCGGGAGAGGGAUGCGGAAUUCCAGGUGUAGCGGUGAAAUGCGUAGAUAUCUGAAGGAACACCUGUGGCGAAAGCGGCUCACUGGACCAUUACUGACGCUGAUGCACGAAAGCUAGGGGAGCAAACAGG